rnacentral:rRNA from 1 species
UCGCAACGGNAGCACGNGUUGCUUGCUCCUGGAUGGCGAGUUGGCGAACGGGUGAGUAAUACAUCGCGAACAUGUCCUGUAGUGGGGGAUAGCCCGNCNAAAGCNGGAUUAAUACCGCAUACGAUCNACGGAUGAAAGCGGGGGACCUUCGGGCCUCGCGCUAUAGGGUUGGCCGAUGGCUGAUUAGCUAGUUGGUGGGGUAAAGGCCCACCAAGGNGACGAUCAGUAGCUGGUCUGAGAGGACGACCAGCCUAACUGGGACUGAGACACGGCCCAGACUCCUACGGGAGGCAGCAGUGGGGAAUUUUGGACAAUGGGCGAAAGCCUGAUCCAGCAAUGCCGCGUNUGUGAAGAAGGCCUUCGGGUUGUAAAGCACUUUUGUCCGGAAAGAAAUCCUGAGGGCUAAUAUCCUUCGGGG